rnacentral:lncRNA from 1 species
AACUCGGAGCCCGGCGCAGUGGAAAGCGGGCCAAGAAGCAGAGGUCCAGGUUCCAACUCUUGAUUCUAUCACAAAACACUGCACCCGAGGCAGCCAGGCAGCUUCCGAAGACCUCGUAAGUGCCCCGCCAUUUGCUGGGUGCUGGGGAUACAGACAUGAAAAGAAAAAUAAAAGACUCAGCCCUGCCUCCGGGAACUCACAGUCCCGCUGACGGUUUAGUCCUCUCCUCUCUCUGGGCCUCACUGCCCCCAUCUGGGAGAUUGACAGGUUGGACUGUCACGACCGUCUCGCCGCCGCUGCAGAGACGCCCCUGGAUCACAGCGCCCCUGCCUCUGCGGCCCUGGACAGGGCUCAGGGCCCAGCCCCUAAAAUUGCUCAGGGUGAGGUUGGAUGGAUCAACCACAGCAACUGUCACCUCACAGCAGGAGACAGGGAAACUGAGUCCCAGAGAGUCAAGAGAGUGCUUACCUGAGACCUGGGUAAUACUGGAAGCUGUCCUUCCAUCCACCAAGAGCUCUUCGCCUUUUUAUUUUUAAUUUUUGUUUUUGUUUUUGAGACGGAGUCUCACUGUCGCCCAGGCUGGAGUGCGGUGGUGCAAUCUCAGCUCACUGCAACCUCCACCUCCCGGGUUUCAGCGAUUCUCGUGCCUCAGCUUCCCAAGUGGCUGGGAUUACAGGCAUGUGCCACCACACCCGGCUAAUUUUUGUAUUUUUAGUAGAGAAGAGGUUUCACCAUGUUGGCCAGGCUGGUCUCGAGCUCUUGACCUCAAGUAAUCCACCUGCCUUGGCUUCCCAAAGUGGUGGGGUUACCGGCGUAAGCCACUAUGCCCAGCCCAAGAGCUCUUUGCCUUCUGAGAGCAGCGUCCUGUGGAGGCAGAAACAGGUUUUCGUUCUUGUUGCCCAGGCUGGAGUGCAAUGGCACAGUCUUGGCUCACUGCAACCUCCAUCUCCCAGGUUCAAGUGAUUCUUCCACCUCAGCCUCCCGAGUAGCUGGUGUUACAGGCACCCGCCACCACGCCUGGCUAAUUUUGUAUUUUUAGUAGAAACGGGGUUUCACUAUGUGGCCAGGCUGGUCUCAAACUCCUGACCUCAGGUGAUCAGACUGCCUCAGCCUCCCAAAGUGCUGGGAUUACAGGCAUAAGCCACCGCACCUGGCCAACAAUUUUUUAAGGAAAAGAAGAAAGGAAAAUUAUUGACCUCAGCUUCCACCUUAACUAGAAAAGACCAAAUGAAACCUAAAAUAAAAAGAAGAAAAGAAAUAAUAAAAAUCAGAGUUGAAAUCAAUGAAACAGAGAACAGAAAAUAAUAGAGAACAUCAAUGAAACAGAACGUUCUUGAGAAAAUUGUUAAAUUUAUAAAUUAUAGUUAGAUUGAUCAGGAACAAAAGAGAAAAUAAAAAUGACCAUUAUCACAAAUGAAAUGGAUAACUUUACUACACAUUCUACAGAUAUUUUUAAAGUCUGAGGCACAGACCUUUAAUAUAAAAACGCUUUAUAGUUCUGUCUAGGGACAUAAGAUCUCAGGAAAAAGAAAAGAAACAUCAGUAAAAGCACUUUUGCUCUGUUUUACAAAAUUGAAAAUCAAUCCCGUGCCUUGUCCAGGUUGUUUUAGGUACACGAGUGUAAAACUGUAUGGUACCCACUGUAAUAGACGAAGCCCAGCUUUCCAUUUGAUCAUGUGCUUAUGUUUUCAUCUAUGGGGUCCCCAGGACCCCUGCACACAGUAGGUGUGCAGUAAACGUUGAGUAAGUCAAUAGAUGGUGGUGGUUGGCAUCGUCUUCCUAAUGUACGCUAGACUCUGUAGUGGCACAAAAGUCAGCACCUGGAAUCCACGUGGGUUUCCGUAUCCUCCACCAAAUGUUCACCAAGCACUCCUCUGUGCAAGGCCUGAAACAACAGAGGAGAACAGAGAUUUGGAACUUUGAGUUAAUAAUGGUAGUUAGAUGAUAUUUUGGACUCCAAGUUGACCCUAGAAUACUUAAGCCUUCGGAGCAUGUUAGGAUGGGAUGAAGGCGUUUUGCCUGCGGGAAGGACAUGAACUUGGAGGAACCAGAGUGUGGACUGUUAUGGGUUGACUAGGACCCUCAAAAACGACGUUCAAGUCCAAACCCUCACUACCUGUCCUUCUGACCUUAUUUGGGAACGGGGCUGUGCAGAUGUCAUUAGUUAAGAUGAGAUCACACUGGAGAUUACGGUGGGCCCUAAGCCAAUAUGAGGGGUGUCUUCAUGAGCAGAGGGAAAUCCGAACACAAUACAGGGAAAAGGAAAAUCUUUCUGGUGUUUUAUUUACUUGCAUUAGUUUCUAAGGCUGCUGUAACAAAGUACCACCAACUGGGUGGCUUAAACAACAGAAAUUUAUCAUCUCACAGUUUUGGAGGCUGCAAGUUCCAAAUCAAGGUGUUGGCAGGGUGGGUUCCUUCUAGGGGCUCUGGGAGGAAAUCUGUGCAAGGCUCUCUUCCAGCUUCUGGAGGUUGUUUUUGCUCACAAGCCUGGGCAGUCUUUGGCUUGUGAAAGCAUCUCCCCAGUUUCUGCCUUCAUCUUCAUGCGGCGCUCUCCCUGUGUGUGUGUGUCUCCAAAUUUCCCCUCUUUAUAAGGACACCAGUCCUACUGGAUUAAGGCCCACCCUAAUGAUUUCAUUUUAAGUUGACUGUCUCAGCCAAGGCCCCAUCUCCAAAUCAGGUCACAUUCUGGGAUGCUGGGAGUUUGAAUUUCAACACAUGAAUUUUGGAGGACACAAUUCAACUCGUCUCACCGGUUCAGGUGUCCAGAAUUGGUUUAUUUCCCAUCUUAAUUGUAGAUUUACAAUGUAAAUGAGCCAUACAUUUUGUCAAUUUUGUUUUUGCAAGAAGUAUUUAAUUUGUUGGUCUUACCUAUUUUACUACUUAGAAGAAAUUAA